UACCUUUUGUAGAAUGGUCCGGCGAGUGAAUGUAACUGGCGAGGUUAAGUUCUUAAGGAACGGAGCCGAAGCGAAAGCAAGUCUGAAUAGGGCGUCUUAGUCAGUUGUAUUCGACCCGAAACCGGGUGACCUAUCCAUGUCCAGGAUGAAGUUAAGGUAAAACUUGAUGGAGGUCCGAACCCACGGUCGUUGAAAUGCCCGGGGAUGAGAUGUGGAUAGCGGAGAAAUUCCAAUCGAACCCGGAUAUAGCUGGUUCUCUCCGAAAUAGCUUUAGGGCUAGCCUCGACUGAACAUUACCGGAGGGAGAGCACUGAAUGGGCUAGGGGCCGAGAGGUUACUGAACCCUAUCAAACUUCAAAUGCCGGAAAAUGAUAGUCGGGAGUCAGACUGCGUGAGAUAAGUUUCGUAGUCGAAAGGGAAACAGCCCAGACCCACAGCUAAGGUCCCAAAGUACGGUUAAGUGGAAAAGGAUGUGGAGUUGCACAGACAACCAGGAUGUUGGCUUAGAAGCAGCCACUCAUUAAAAGAGUGCGUAAUAGCUCACUGGUCGAGUGACUCUGCGCCGAAAAUUUAACGGGGCUAAAUCGUACACCGAAGCUUGGGAAUAUCAGUUAUUCUUCAUGGACUUGCUAAGGUAAGACACCAUGGCACGGAGUGCCAUCAAAUUGUCCAGAAGGAUAAAGCGAGCUUGUGAAGAAUAACUGAUAUUGGUAGGAGAGCGUUGAAUGCGGGGUGAAGUCAGAGCGAAAGCGCUGGUGGACUGCAUUGAAGUGAGAAUGCCGGAAUGAGUAGCGAGAUUUAUGUGAGAAUCAUAAAGGCCGAAAGACUAAGGUUUCAGAAGGAAGGUUCGUCCGCUUCUGGUUAGGCGGGAGCUAAGGUGAGGCCGAAAGGCGUAGCCGAUGCACAUACGGUGGAGAUUCCGUAGCCGUCGAAAUAUUUAAGCAAAGGGACACUUAUGAAGGACAUGACCCGGGCGAUGGUAGCCCCGGGCGUAAGGGACUGAAAACAAGUAAGGAAGCAUGUUUGGAUUAAGGCGAGAAAAGCUUUGUGUAUAUAUGAGACGUCCGUACCGCAAACCGACACAGGUAGUCAGGAAGAGGAUUCUAAGGCCAACGGGAGAAGGGUAGUUAAGGAACUCGGCAAAUUGACCCCGUAACUUCGGGAUAAGGGGCGGUGCGUAAGCACCCGCAGUGAAUAGGUCCAGGCGACUGUUUAUCAAAAACACAGCUCUCUGCUAAAUCGAAAGAUGACGUAUAGGGGGUGACACCUGCCCGGUGCUGGAAGGUUAAGAGGAGGAGUGCAAGCUCCGAAUUGAAGCCCCAGUAAACGGCGGCCGUAACUAUAACGGUCCUAAGGUAGCGAAAUUCCUUGUCGGGUAAGUUCCGACCCGCACGAAUGGUGUAACGAUCUGGACGCUGUCUCAACUGCCCACCCGGCGAAAUUGUAGUACCGGUGAAGAUGCCGGUUACCCGCGGCAAGACGGAAAGACCCCAUGGAGCUUUACUGUAACUUGAUAUUGGGUCUUGGUAUUCUAUGUACAGGAUAGGCGGGAGACUAUGAAACAUACACGCCAGUGUAUGCGGAGUCACCCUUGGGAUACCGCUCUUAGAGUACUGAGAUUCUAACCUGCGGCCGUGAAUCCGGUCGGGGGACAUUGUCAGGUGGGCAGUUUGACUGGGGCGGUCGCCUCCUAAAAGGUAACGGAGGCGCUCAAAGGUUAGCUCAGCACGGUCGGAAACCGUGCCUCUGAGUGCAAACGCAAAAGCUAGCCUAACUGCGAGGCUGACGGGCCGAGCAGUAACGAAAGUUGGAGUUAGUGAU
rnacentral:rRNA from 1 species